rnacentral:rRNA from 1 species
UACGUAGGGUGCGAGCGUUGUCCGGAAUUACUGGGCGUAAAGAGCUCGUAGGUGGUUUGUCGCGUUGUUCGUGAAAACCGGGGGCUUAACCCUCGGCGUGCGGGCGAUACGGGCAGACUGGAGUACUGCAGGGGAGACUGGAAUUCCUGGUGUAGCGGUGGAAUGCGCAGAUAUCAGGAGGAACUCCGGUGGCGAAGGCGGGUCUCUGGGCAGUAACUGACGCUGAGGAGCGAAAGCGUGGGGAGCGAACAGG